rnacentral:rRNA from 1 species
ACUGAGCGGCGGACGGGUGAGUAACGCGUGGGUAACCUGCCUCAUACAGGGGGAUAACAGUUAGAAAUGACUGCUAAUACCGCAUAAGACCACAGGGCCGCAUGGUCCGGUGGUAAAAACUCCGGUGGUAUGAGAUGGACCCGCGUCUGAUUAGCUGGUUGGUGGGGUAACGGCCUACCAAGGCGACGAUCAGUAGCCGACCUGAGAGGGUGACCGGCCACAUUGGGACUGAGACACGGCCCAAACUCCUACGGGAGGCAGCAG